rfam:Pan troglodytes isolate Yerkes chimp pedigree #C0471 (Clint) chromosome 6, whole genome shotgun sequence.
CCAAAGGCUCUUUUAAGAGCCACCCACUUUUUCAGCUAUAGAGUUG